rnacentral:rRNA from 1 species
UACGUAGGGAGCAAGCGUUGUUCGGAUUUACUGGGCGUAAAGGGCGCGUAGGCGGCGCGGUAAGUCACUUGUGAAAUCUCUGAGCUUAACUCAGAACGGCCAAGUGAUACUGCAGUGCUAGAGUGCAGAAGGGGCAAUCGGAAUUCUUGGUGUAGCGGUGAAAUGCGUAGAUAUCGAGAGGAACACCUGCGGCGAAGGCGGGUUGCUGGGCUGACACUGACGCUGAUGCGCGAAAGCCAGGGGAGCGAACGGG